rnacentral:tRNA from 1 species
GUAAUUGUAGCUUAUACUUUAAAGCACGGCACUGAAAAUGCCGCGAUGAGAACCAAAUCUCUCCAAAAACA